UACGUAGGGUGCAAGCGUUGUCCGGAAUUAUUGGGCGUAAAGAGCUCGUAGGCGGUUUGUCGCGUCUGCUGUGAAAACGCGAGGCUCAACCUCGCGCCUGCAGUGGGUACGGGCAGACUAGAGUGCGGUAGGGGAGAUUGGAAUUCCUGGUGUAGCGGUGGAAUGCGCAGAUAUCAGGAGGAACACCGAUGGCGAAGGCAGGUCUCUGGGCCACUACUGACGCUGAGAAGCGAAAGCAUGGGGAGCGAACAGG
rnacentral:rRNA from 1 species